UACGUAGGCAGCGAGCGUUGUUCGGAGUUACUGGGCGUAAAGAGCUCGUAGGCGGUCUGUUGCGUCCGCUGUGAAAACUCGGGGCUUAACCCCGAGCCUGCAGUGGAUACGGGCAGACUAGAGGUAGGUAGGGGAGAAUGGAAUUCCCGGUGUAGCGGUGAAAUGCGCAGAUAUCGGGAGGAACACCGGUGGCGAAGGCGGUUCUCUGGGCCUUACCUGACGCUGAGGAGCGAAAGCGUGGGGAGCGAACAGG
rnacentral:rRNA from 1 species